UAUAGAAGAUAAUACCCAGGCUCCCAACUCACCGUACCCAGGGCUGGACCCUCCUCCCCCUGUGAGAGCCCCAGAAAGAACAUAGCUUUUGCACUGAAUUCAAACGUCAUGAGCGGGGCGGGCCAGCGCAUGCAGAGAGGAUUGAUUUUAGCCAUGAAGACUCAGAACUAGCUACAAGGCCACUAGAUGUUUUAUGACGCAAAGGAGUUAAGGUGCAAUGAAUCCAGGGAGAGCCAAUCUGAACUCUACUCUGAAACCAACAAGUUGCUACAUGAGAGACAGACCGGAUUAAAAAAAAUAAAAGGAAAAGGAAAAAUCAGCAGAUAGAUGACUUCUUUAAGCCAUCUGAUCUCUGCAUUAAUAUUAUUUUCGUCAGGAACCUUCCAACAGUUGUACAGAAAAAGUCGUUUCCGCCAUGGCACUCAUGCAGAUGGAUAUGGCAACAUGGUAUCAUUUCAAUCUGGUUUAUGCUCUACUUUAAUCUCUAAUCUCUUCAACUUGUCAUCAUAUUUAAUGGCGAGUUGUAAUUCUCUGGACAUAUGGGAACACAGAGCAUGUUAUUGGGCCCCAAAUUGCUUUAUGGGUCCGGUACCUAUAACCCCAAUCCCGAGAUAUUCCCAAAUAUAAAUUAUGUAGGGGGUCGUCAAACGGGAGAAAGAGUCCAUAAACAUAAUGCCCCAAAUAUGGGAUCUAUAGUAAGAGAUGUCCUAAACUCCAAUUAGUUCACUUUAGUUCUUAGAGUUAGAGGAUUCUAGUUGCUCUGUUGUUGCUGGUUAUAUGCAAGUGGUGGUGGGAAAAAACAACCUGCUCCCACAUUCUGUUUCUCCCUUUCCUUUCUUUUGAUUUUCUCUGCCUAUGUUUCUCUGUCUGCAUGCAGAAAAUGCUCAAUACUUGAACUAAGA